ACAACCAUGAAUUUCACAUCUCACUGAAGGCAGUGACAACUGCUAAAGAAUAUGGUGUCGUUAUGCUCACCCUGCCACCUCACACCUCACACCGAUUGCAACCAUUGGACAAAACAGUCUAUGGACCACUGAAAACCUACUUCUUCAGAGCAAUGGACGGUUGGAUGCGAACACAUCCUGGUCGAACCGUAUCGAUUUACGAGGUCGCAGAACUUGUGAAGCAAGCAUUUAUGUCUGCAAUGACCCCCACAAACAUCACAUCAGGUUUCAGAGCUACGGGCAUAUACCCACACAACAGGGAUAUCUUCCCAGAUGAAGAUUAUCCCCCAUCAAUGAUAACAGACAGGCCAAACCCAGAAGAGCCCUCCACCAGUGCUGCUGCUGACCCGCCUGGACCAUCACAUGAGGAGCCAACUCAUGCCACAGGUCUUGAAGCAGGUCCAGACCAAGGGGAGCCACCUGCCACUCUUCCGGAACCAAAUCCUGAGCACUCAUCAAUUGAUGAAACUGGUUCUGGUUCCCAUGGGAGUUAUGUGUCUCCAAAAGUCAUACUUCCCUUGCCAAAAGCCACAGCAAGAAGGCCCAGAAUGAUGAGAAAGAAAGUAAAAACAAGAAUCGUGACUGACACACCUGAGAAGAUGGAGCUGGAGAAGGCACACAAAGAAAAACAAGAUAAAAAGGCUGAAAAGGAAAAGAAAAAGAAUGAAAGGCAGAAGAAAUGGGCUCUGAAAGGCUCAAAUCAAACCAAAAUCAUAAAGAAAAAGGUCGUGCACAGUAGCUCAGAAGAAAGCACCAUGGGCCUCCCACUUGAUGACACCACUGACGAUGAAGCAGAAGAUGACCUGGAGAACACACACAACAGAGAAAAUAAAAAACAGAAAAAACAGAAAAUUAAUGAAAAUAAGAAGAGAGGGGCUCAGAAAGUGUCCAAACCAACCAAACCCAAAACGAAAGUGACUGUCUACAGUAGCUUAGAAGAGAGUGACAUCUCCAUUCCACUUAACG
rnacentral:lncRNA from 1 species